rnacentral:rRNA from 1 species
GACGAACGCUGGCGGCGUGCUUAACACAUGCAAGUCGAACGGACUGCUUCAAGCUUGCUUGGGGUGGUGAGUGGCGAACGGGUGAGUAACACGUGAGUAACCUGCCCUCUUCUUUGGGAUAACGGCCGGAAACGGCUGCUAAUACCGGGUAUUCACUGGUCCUCGCAUGGGGGUUGGUGGAAAGGGGCCUCGUUUGGGGUUUCUGGUGGGGGAUGGGCUCGCGGCUUAUCAGCUUGUUGGUGGGGUGAUGGCCUACCAAGGCUUUGACGGGUAGCCGGCCUGAGAGGGUGACCGGUCACAUUGGGACUGAGAUACGGCCCAGACUCCUACGGGAGGCAGCAGUGGGGAAUUUUGCACAAUGGGCGCAAGCCUGAUGCAGCGACGCCGCGUGAGGGAUGGAGGCCUUCGGGUUGUGAACCUCUUUCGCUCAUGGUCAAGCCGCGGAUGUGUCCGUGGUGAGGGUAGUGGGUAAAGAAGCGCCGGCUAACUACGUG